AGGUGGUCACAUCUGAUGCUGCACAGCUGAUCAUGAAUUUUAUAGCCUCAAAUUUCUACCAAAUUCAAGGCUUCUUGAGAUAUAGACAUAUGACCUGGGGUAAAAGGAAAGUUAUUUGAAAGCUGAAUUAAAGUCCCCAAAACUGCACUGCAAGUGAAUAAUUAAAGACAACAUAUGUCUGGACUGCAGCACCUAUGAGAAUCAUAGAGUUGGAAGAGACCUCAUGGGCCAUCCAGUCCAAUCCCCUGCCAAGAAGAAGGAAAUUGCAUUCAAAGCCUUCCUUAUUUCUUGUGGUGAUUUUUUUUUUCCUUUUCAUAUGUGCUUUUCUCAAUAAACUGUUUUACUACUACUUUUGGAUUCCUGGUUGGUGUUGAGUGCAAGGUGGAUUCUGGCUGGGGUGCAACAUAAGUCUUGAUAGAGUGGGAAUUACCCCCAACUUCUUCAAAGAGAAGACUUUUUAGAUUAAGGGGGAAACCAAUGCCACUACCUCAUAAUUAACCAGUCCAACAACAAUCAAAAAAUGUAUUGGUUUUUAAGCCUGUUCCUGGGUAUGAUCAUGUGUGACUCACCCAAGGUCAACCAAUGGAUUUCCAUGGCCAAAAGGGGAAAUGAAUCUUGGUCUCCACUCACUUAACCCACCACACCAUUCAGGCUCUACAAUGCAAAGGACUCUCUCUUGAAUUAGCUGUCACAGCAGAUUUUACUGAAGAAAUAAGAGAACUUAAGAGAACAGUGGGCCAAUCUUCUAUAGGAGACAUAUCUUGCAUCUGAAAGUAAAGGAAUUUAGUCAUAAUUGCCAAAGAAGAGAGGGGGGAAAAUGGGAACAAUUUCAUGAGACAUCUGAGCCUGAGCUAUCAUGUCAUACCCUCUCUAAUGGACCUGUUUCUUUAUUCUGAAGGAAUGUUCUCAACAACAUCUGUUCACUAGAGCACAGAUUCAAAGCAACAUCAAUGUUUAACAUUCUGUUCAGUCAUAAAAAUAUGUGACACUUUGUCCUAGAGAAUGAAUGUCUAUUUCACAAGUAUUUCAAAGAUCUUUCUGAGAAUUUUCCUUGAGAAAUAUAACAACUGAAAAAAUAUCUUCUAGAAAAAGACUAUGAGUAACCUUGGCUUUUUGUACUUGCAAGAAAACUAUUGCAGCUGAUUUUCAGUGACUAUGUAUAGCUCUGUGAAUAUAUAUUUUUUGCACACUGCCAGUGACAGUAACUGAAGCUGAAAGAUGUUUUAACAAGCAACAGUCAAUGUAUGACAAUCUCAGUUUAAUCAUCUUGGUUUCUACAGAGAGCUCAGGCUUGAUUUGCUCUAGGACUUACAGAUUUGUCUUUUUAGCAGUCCAGUAGUAGUCUUCUCAAGCAUGACAUUUCAAAUGAGUUUAUUUUCUUUCCAUCUGUGUUUUUCACUACUUAGUUCCCCAGCCAAACAUAGAAAUGGGAAAUGGACAAUCUUAAUAUUAGUAUUGAGUGAUAUAUCUUGUUAUGACCAACAGAAAAUCUAGUUUUGCCUCUUUACAGAGCAGAGCAACCAAGGUCAUCGCAAUAUCUUUGUACAUAGACCAGACAGCAAACAGAGGCUCCAAAGCUUCAGUGUUGCAAUCUAUUGUGACUGGACUAGAUUAUGCCUCGUUUGCAUACACUUACCAUUUAUUAGUCUUUCCCCAAGUGCCAGAUUUGCAUUAUGUGUGUGCACAGAGCAUAGCCAGUACUGUAACUGCAGCUACACAAAAAAACCUGACUCUUCUCCUCAGGAAUUAAUUAAUGUUUGACCUGAGCUUCAAAAGAAGUGGCACACUAGGGCUUUCGAUAACCCAGCAAGAUUGCUGAAAGCCGAAAUUAAAUUCCUGCUCAACCAGAGUAUCUAAUUCAUGCUCGUGCUUGAAGGGUAGGACCAAACAGGCUGGGCUCCCUUGGGGUUCCACAUUUCUGCAGUUCACAAGGAUAGAGUGCUUCACUUCUGCAUUCAGUAUGACCUCUUUUGUGUACUUGCAAUGAGAGUCUGAAAGGACUACAUCCAACCCAGCACAGAGAGAAAUGGAGAAAAGACUAAAAACAUCAUUACACCAGCUUGUUGUUUAUGGCAAUCACGUUGCUUAAGCAAAUGGAAAUAUAUAGUCGAGUCUCACUUAUCCAAGACUCACUUAUCCAAGGUUUUGGAUUAUCCAAGGCAUUUUUGUAGUCAAUGUUUUCAAUAUAUCAUGAUAUUUUGGUGCUAAAUUCGUAAAUACAACAUAACAUUACUGAGUAUUGAACUUUUUCUGUCAAAUUUGUUGUAUAACAUGAUAUUUUGGUGCUUAAUUUAUAAAAUCAUGACCUAAUUUGAUGUUUUCUUAAUCCCUCCUUAUUAUCCAAGAUAUUCGUUUAUCCAAGCUUCUGCCAGCCCGUUUAGCUUGGAUAAGUGAGACUCUACUGUAUUAUUGGAACAAGCUUUUCAAACUUCAGUGCAAUUCACGAUCCUGGCACUUUGUUGAUGCAAAUCCAGCAAUCAGUAUUCAUACUGCUUUGUUUUCUGUACCAAGUGUAUGUGUAAAAAUCUAUUUUGCUGUAGUUGUGCAAUCUCGUUUCAGCAUUUUCACAAGACUUCCUUCCACUUUGCAAUACUGGGAGUGCAGCAAAGAACAAUGGAACUACAAUGAUAUUGGAAUAAUUGGCAAGUUUUUCCUAUCAAUGAAAAGAGAUGAUCUAAUCACAAAUCAAACACAGUGCAAGUACAGAACUGCCAUAAUAUCAUGUGCUGGGACCCAUUAACAAGUAUUUUUGUCUUGUGAUAUGCUUUACCAGUCUCGUGUGAUAAACUCCUAAGACUUGGAAAAAUAAAUGUGCAGGAACUAGGUAAAGUCUGAAAAUCUACCAUCAAAUGCAAGAGUCACAAUCAUAUAUUUCUAAUUUUUUGGGUAUGGUUGUGAAAGCUGGGCAAUGAAGCAAAUCAAAAGAAAGAAAAUCACCUGAUUUGAAAUGUGGUGCUGGACAAGAGUUCUGCAUGGACUGCCAAAAUGACAAAUAAAUGGGCCCAAGGUCAAAUCAAGCCUGAAUUCAUCUCAAAAAAGCAGUGACUAAAUUGAUAUGUCACUUUUUGAACAUAUCAUAAGAUUACGUGACUCAUUGGAGAAGUUGAUAAUGUUUUGUAAAUAAAAAGGAAUCAGAAAAGAGGAAGACAGCAUUGCAGGGGCCGUACUGUAAUUAACAGUUUAACUCAGGAUACUUCCACACUUGUCAAAAUCCUUGGGAUUUGAUGGGAGUUAUAACUAUAGUUAGUAAAAUGUUUUUUCCUGAUCACCAUACAACCUUCUUCCCCAUAUUUUUCAGGUGAAUUUAUAGGUGUUAACAACUACUUCUUAAACCCACUGCAGGGUAUGCAGUGUUUUUUUUUCUGUCCCAGGAGUUUCCAGUACAGGUCAGGAUAAAUGUCUGCAUUUAUUCUCAUGGUUUCCUUCACUAUAUAUUUGGGUGGUUCCACUGAUAACAUAUAGAACUUGGGGUGUUGCCUUUGCCACAGAUAUUUUCUGCUGACCUUAAUUUCUUCAUUAUGAUUGGUG